UGGCAGACGAUUGAAACAAACAUUGAUUGUUGCUUGCAGUUUUUCUAUAUUAACUAAUACAAUGAUUGGCCCCCCUUAAGGGGCAAACCCUGCACAUUUAACGCCAGCAAAAGCAUCUAAAAGCGCCUAAAACCCAAUGAAAAAAGCAUAAGUAAUCCUUUAAUUCUAUUAAAACCGUAACAGGAUCUUCUAACUGCAUCCAUCCUAAUAUACAGGGUGUUACAAAUCUAGGGUGCCUUACUCUGUGUGGUCCGUUGUUAUUGCUGUUGAAACGCAAGAAAACGUGGAUUUUUUGUCGGAAAAACUUGUCUUUAACAGCAAUAAUGGCUUAAGGGACGCAAUCGCUUAACAGCUGAUUUUUUGCCAGUUAAUCGUAUACUUCGGUCACUGUUUAACCAUCGUGGCUACAUUCCAGAGAACUACCGGAAGGCUCCCAGCAGGCAGUGAAAGUGUUGUGCCGUCCUGGAACAGUUUUAUAAGUGUUUACCAUGAUUCAUCCUCAGACGACUCAUCACUAGAUCCCAACCACCUAAAAAGCGAUGAUCAUGGCCUACGUUCAUCAUGUUUAGUAAUCUCCACACUAGUGACGACUCUAGUGCUCAGAUGGCUCACUAGUGUGCCGUAAAACGCACAGUAUUUAGUUCGUUUUAUAAACGAAAGCCACUUCGACUGAGAGACUCAAACUGCACUGAACAGGGUGUGGAUCGUGAUAACGUUACGUUUUUCCCGAUGUGAUGGUGUUUUUUUUGGAAGACUUUCUUAAUCCUCUAGAGAUUAGUUUAAGUAUUUAAGCAGCUUCAAUUGGAACGAAUGAGUGUGUGAGGUUUGGAACCAGGCAGCAACAAUCUCAUUGCAAUCGCAUGCUAUACGUAAUGUUCUACUGCCUCCCAGUAUUUAUACUUUUCUUAUCUCUAAUACGAGAAACCAAAAAUGGUUGUGGCUUUUUAAUGCUACGACAAUGCGAAGGACCAAAAGUACUAUUACGAUGGCUAGAUCUAGGUACUCAUUAUUGAUUGCCAGCUACUCUUAAGCGUAGGAUAUUUUGUACAGAAACAAUUAGUAAUAUAUUAAUUUUAUAGUA